UAGCCGUCGCGCAGUAUACUUUUGUGUGGCGCAGCUAACGCUUUAAACAUUCCGCCUGGGGAGUACGGUCGCAAGAUUAAAACUCAAAGGAAUUGACGGGGGCCCGCACAAGCGGUGGAGCAUGUGUUUUAAUUAGAAGCAACGAGCAGCACCUCACCAUCCCUUGACAUGCCCGGCUUCUUUCAGAUAUACAAGGUUCCCUUGGGGGUCCGGGACACAGGUGCGCAUGGCUGUCGUCAACUCGUGUCGUGAGAUGUUGGAAGUAGUCCCGCAACGAGCACAACCCUCCCUUUAGUUGCCAACAUUCACUUGGGCACCUAAGGGGACGCCCAGUGAUAAACGAUUAAGAGGAGAAGGAAUUCAAAGUCUUCAUGCCCCAAGACCAUGGGCUACCCACUGGUAAAAUGGGUGGUGACAAUGGGCAGUGCCCACGGGUGUGUUACUUAAUUUUCAAAAGCCAUCUCAGUUCGGAUUGCAGUCUGCAACUCGAGUGCAGAAGUCGAAUCGUUAGUAAUCACGGAUCAGCAUGC
rnacentral:rRNA from 1 species